UUGUAUCAGUUCUCACCACACAACGACGUUUCAUCUUUGCUGCUUAAAUGUCGGUAUGUAAUGGUAUGGAGUUAUUGAAACUUACUACGUGUAAAAAAGACUAGAAAUUGAAUGUUUAUUUUUAAGCCUCGAAAGUUGCACUGGGUGCCUUUAAUUGAUUCUGCAACAAAAUCUUCAUUAUUUUAAAUCAAUUAGUUAUUUCUCUGCCGCAUAAGUCGAGAACUACACUGAUUGUUAACGCCGUGUUUCGGAUCACACACGCAAGCACCGCCCACCCUGGAGGUUAAACCGGUUAAAACAAACUCCUCCGUUCUCUGGGUUUGCCCCUGGAUGACGGCCCUUUUCCCAUCAGGGAGUUUCUAAUCGUAAAAUCAUGCGUCGUGCCGUUCGUUAAAAAACUAGAACGAGAUUCCCGUCUUGUGCGUGACUGUCUAGCCCCUUACCCCCCCCUUGUCCGUGAUUAGCAGGUGUCUGGUUCGAAUUUCAGGACUCGGGAGACGUUCGUUCUCCGGUCUCCGUCGUGAAGAGUCAGAGAUGGGUGGCACCACGUCCUGUGUACCUUAGUUUUAGUAAGGGACAUCUCUCCCCAUAUACCCCCCUCAUCCACCCCCAUCUCUCUCCGUCUGCGGGACCCUUUGAGUAUCGGGUCUGAGCUUGUUGCUCUUGCAGACCGUGAUGUGUGUUUCAGGGUCCGUGGACGCCCAUGUACCUACUGUAAAUAGACGUUAAUAUAUUGAACGGCGCGGCCAGGCGUCUUCUCUUGCCCGUCAGUGUCUUCGAGGUCCCGGGUCGCGGCUCCCGGAAGAAUCCACGCUUUAAACCCCGCAGCGAAAUGAAGGAAGUAGGGGGGAACCAAAAUCCACUUUGUUUUGAUACAAUUUGUAUCGUAGCGCCGUUGGCGGACAGACUGUUUGCAGACGCGUCGUUCGUGGGUCGCUGACUGUCGGCGCCUUGCUGCUCUCCGAUCGAGGAGGUCCGCUCUUUAAGCGUGUGGAAGCUGCUGCUGAUGAUGCGUGAUGUUAAAUGAUACGAGGAGGUUGACUACCUGCUAUGUCUGGGUAUUGCAGCCUCGUUAUCUGGCUUUGGGUUUGAGAAAGAAAAAAAAUAUCCUAAGCGUAUUUGAACACAAUCACCUCUGAUCUCUCCCCCCCCUCCCCGCGAAACAUCAGUAUUUGUACUUCCUUCACAUGGUAUUCGAAUCAUUUCAAAUUAAAAGUUCCUCUAAAAUAUGGUAGCCAUUCCUAGUAUUUAUAUGAGGUUAACUUGGAAUUAUUUGGAAAUAUGAGAACAAGUUACACCAUGCUGAGUCACAUUUAGAAACACAUUGGCCAUGAAUUAAUAGACGGCUGUAAAACUAUUUUACUCAAUGAUACGAGUCACUCCCACUUUUAAAGAAUGAAUAUCGUGAUGGAUGACAAUGUUGGAAUCAGUUAAUAAACCUAAUCGGUAGAUUCACUAAAUGCUUGGAUUAGUCGCAAGAGGCCAUCGAACCGACCUCUGCCCCGAGGGUUUAACAGUCCGGGUCUCGCCCCCGCCCCAAAGCAAAACCACAGGGAUUUCAACCUGCUACCUCACGGCUCAGGACCUCAAAUCCCCCCGCCCCCCACCCCCACCCAUGCCAGAUUAUACAAAGUGUGUAAGAUAAUUGAAGCGAGGAAAACCGGGGGAUCUUUUUAGUGUACUGAAGAAGCGCCUUCUCUGUGGGACCCCUGACACCGUGUGUCAGCGUGGGAGCAGAGAGAGGGCCCCAAGUAAUGCCUGUUUGACGGCAUUGUGCUUAUGACACAUCCGAUACUCUGAACUAUGUUCAGCCAACUCUUAUGCAUGUUUUCACCUGUUUUGGUUCGUUUUUCUCUGCAUGUUAGUUUUUUUUUUUUCUUCUGUUAGGUAACUUGACAAAAGAGACGCAUGUGAGCUUGUCACCUGUCCUCCUCGCACUCCUUGUCACGAUAGGUGUGUGCCCUCGUUAAGGACAGGUGUGUGCCCUCGUUAAGGACAGGUGUGUGCCCUCGUUAAGGGAAGGUGUGCUCCUGUUAGGGCAGGUGCGUGCCCUCGUUAAGGACAGGUGUGUGCCCUCGUUAAAGACAGGUGUGCUACUGUUAGGACAGGUGUGCUCCUGUUAGGGCAGGUGUGCUCUCCUUGAGGACAGGCGUGCUCUCAUUAAGGACAGGUGUGUGCCCUCGUUAGGCAAGUUGUGCACCUUGUUUCGCUCGUUAGGACCGAUGUGCACCUUGUUACUGCAGGUGUGUGCCCUCGUUAGAACAGAUGCAUAAUCAUGAAAACAUGCAUAGUAAGUGUGUACUUUGCAUGUUGUCACUUCCUUUCAUUUCCGAAUGUUGUAUUUUGUUUUCCUUAUCUUGUAGUAUAUAACUUAACUUAUGUUGUGGGAAACUGAAAUAUUGAAGUUGCCUGGUUUUAAAUUGCAACAUUAAGCAACUUUUAAAGAUCUUGAUUUGGCAUCGACCAAGUUGGAUUGGGCCGAAACUCAUCGUCAGAUCAAUGUCUACAAAAUGACGGCACUUUCCUCAGAUGCCAAUUUAACAAUCUGCUUUCACAUAGUUAAUUUAUGAGUUCCCUUAAGAAGCAUACGACCCCGGAGCAGAGCAUGUGGUCUUGGAAUGUUUAACACAGAGCUAACUAAUUCACCGACACGAUAAUCCAACCUAUAUUUACUUAGAUGACAACGCUUUACGGUCUAGGAAUACUUGUAGAAAAACGUCAAAACAUCAAAAAAAUGGAUUUGUUUGUUGAAACGCUAUUUAUAGAGGUCCUUUAGAAAAGGCGUAACUAACCAUCACUCUUCGUCAUUGUAACUAUUCUCUUUUGUGAUUGUUCAAUAAAGGGAAAUGUAUUGCAUUGUGUGGUCUAGUGUACUUUCCACUGUAUGGUUGAAACCUCACAAAACAACUCGAAGAACUCUGGAAAACAAAAAUGUAUGGUCAAACAAACGUUAUAUUUAUACAUGUAUUGAUUCGUAAAGCAAUAGUUGCCAAGACCAUUAAUGAAGUCGUGAUUUUUCAGGACCCUUGGUUGGUUUUAAACCUUAAAAUGGCAGCAAUCAAAAAAUUACAGACCAUUCAAGUGUAGCAUAACAAAAUAACAAUGUUUUUAUUUUAUUGCAAAUUUAAAAAACAAACAAAACUUAAAAUGCACUCAUUUUUCGAAAACGCCUCUUUGAACAAUCCUGCCUCCGCUGGCCCAGAAGAGGCAGAUUGAACUUGCAGUUAAAGCGUUGAGAAAAGUGAGGUUAGAUGUGGAAAAAUACUAAAACGGUUUUGUUGUAAUUCCGCCAGAGGAAAAUUACCAGAAAGAAAAAAUGUCAACUCCCCAGCUCAUCUUUUAAACUUUGACUCCCUUGCAAAAACCUUAAAUCCUGCAAAUCCAUCGGUUUUAAAAAGAAAAAAAAUGAAAGAAAGAAAUUGUCUGCACGUCCAAAGUUGCGCUCCUAGGUCACCCUCAAAGAGGACUCGAGAGCUUGAGACAAUUCUAGAAUCGUCCAAAGUGGAAGUGUUUAAAACAAACGGAUGCCUCGGGCCUGAACAACUGAUUGGCUGACGGGAGUCAGAGCGAACGCAGCCGAUUCGCUUCUCGGUAGCCCUUGUGUGACUGUCAAACAUGCCGUAUGCGUGCGUGUGUUUGCGCCCUCCCUGUAGCAACUUUUGAAACUCGACGUCCCUGGGAGAUCUGAGAAAUAAACGUUAAAUUGACCGACACGCGUCGUUUUGACUGCAACGUCUUUCGCCCCCAAAAAAAAUCUAAAACAGAAACCGCCAUCAGCGUCCAAAUCGAAUCAAACCCACCAUGACCUCGUCUUAACCGUGAAGUGCAUCAUCGCCACCACUGGGCGGUCACCAUGGCAACAGGGUUGAGGUAGAGAUUCGGUUCUGAAGUUGAGGACUGAUGAUUUGAUCAGACUCACAGGCAUCCACUAAAACUAGCUCUCUGGGCUUCUCCGUGACAGGAACCCAUUCAACUUACGAGUUGGAAAACGUACACGCACAUACACACACACGUGACCGUUAGCCUGUAAAACAACACCUCCUUUGUGGAUCAGUAACACGAACAUCCAGCUCAGUGAAAUGAGACCCUGGUUUCCCUUUGAUGCCUUUGCUACUUUAAUUAGACUCCAAACCCCGUAAUGCCUUGGGGUCUGAUAUACUUGUACUCCUUUCACCCAAGUCCGGACACUUCAUGGAUGCAGACCUGGUUCAAGAUUCUGAAACAAAUACAGUUGUGAUCGGUCCGAUACAGAAUUGAACAGAACCGACUUUAAACUAUCUUUCUUCCUGGACGGACUCGUAGAUAUUUCCCACACAAACAACCAAAGAAACAAAAUGGCCAAAAUCCAGAGCAUUUCCCUCAACUCAAGAUUUUUCUAAAUUUGCCUGGAUUCACCGAAACCUACCUCCCUAGGUACGAGAAAAAAAAAUGAUGACAUCCAUUGAACGAAGCGAACGCAAAAAAGGAGAGGAUGACAACUUUCUAAAAAGAGAACGGGAGCACUUUUAAACUGAACAUCUUUGUUGCAUAAUAAUACUAUCAUUCCAGACGAGCAUACGAAGCAAGCAACGGCAAGACAACAAAAAAAAAAAGAUUAUUUCAUGGCCUUGAUUGCUCCGGGACAAAAAACAAAACAAAAA